UACGUAGGGAGCAAGCGUUGUCCGGAAUCAUUGGGCGUAAAGCGCGCGUAGGCGGCCCGAUAAGUCCGCUGUAAAAGUCAACGGCUCAACUGUUGAAAGCCGGUGGAUACUGUCGGGCUAGAGUACGGAAGAGGCAAGUGGAAUUCCUGGUGUAGCGGUGGAAUGCGCAGAUAUCAGGAGGAACACCCAUAGCGAAGGCAGCUUGCUGGGACGUUACUGACGCUAAGGCGCGAAAGCUAGGGGAGCGAACGGG
rnacentral:rRNA from 1 species